ensembl:lncRNA
UCAAAGCCUCCGUCUCCCUGGAGAAUCCCCAGACAAAGACAGAAAUGUGGACUUUGUAGACCAAUGAUGGACUGAGCGCCAUAAUUAGCGGCGCAGACGGCCCAGCUAAAGGCACAUUACACCUCACUUCCACCUCGCGGCUUUUAACUUAUGCAAAGAGCCGAGGACACGGCGGCUAAUUUAGUGUUUUUACAAGAGCAGACUGAACACUUCAAACGAGACCACACACAGACCGACAGAUAGUCAAAGUGGAAAUGUGGUGAAAGAGAGAGCGAGAGGAAGAUCCAGCCAACUGAAAUGUAUGAAAUGAACCUGAAAUAAUGACAUUAAUUUGACUUUCUUUUGUAAUGCCUUUUCACUUCAUUAUGUUGUUUAUUCCAUUGAAUGUAACACAUUUAUUUGAAUCACAAUCAAUUUGAUCACUUUUCAUCAUAUAUUUAGAAACCUAAAGGAUAAAGCAGACAGGGACCCUGAGAUGUACCAACACCGCCCCCAUGUGGUUAUUAGAAGAAUUAUAUCUAAACGUCAUUAUAUUGCAUUGUGUUAUGCUAUGAUAUGCUAUGCUAUAUAAUGCAAUGCUAUGUCAUGCUAUGCUAUGCUAUCCUAUGUUAUGUUUAGUUAUGCUAUGCUACGUCAUAUAAUGCUAUGCUAUGCUAUGUCAUGCUAUCCUAUGCUAUGUUUAGUUAUGCAAUGCUAUAUCAUGUCAUGCUAUACUGUGCAAAGCUCUGUCAUGUCAUGCUAUGCUAUUUUAAACUAUGCUAUGCUAUACUAUGCUAUGCUAUGUUAAGUUAUGCUAUGUUUCGUGGUGUUGUGUUAUGUUGUGGUAUGUCAUGUCAUGCUAUGCUAUGCUAUCUUAUGCUGUGCUAUGCUAUGUCAUGCUAUGCUAUGUAAUGUCAUGCUAUGCUAUGCUAUGUCAUGUCAUGCUAUGCUAUGCUAUGCUAUCUUAUGCUAUGCUAUGCUAUGUUAUGUCAUAGUGCCCCAUUCACAGUCAUAGACAUCUACAGCAUGUCAGCUUGCUCCUAAAGAACUGAACAUAUUUACAUUUAUUUAUGUCAGCUCUUGUUUUUAAUUCUUGUUGUUCUUGGUUCUGACAGAAGUAAAUAAAUUAUAUUUCUUGCUUAAACUUUGUUAUAACAAACAGAAAUGUUAUUUCUGAUUUAUUGUACUUAACUGUCUUCUCUUUGUUACAAAAAAAUGUGGAAUUUGUUGUUUUUAUUGCUGAAAACAAU